GAGAAACCGGAAGUUCUGGUUAAGUCCCCGCUUGCGGAUCUAAAUUCCUAAUCAAUGAAGUCUAAGGCGUACAAAUGUUUAAACAUGCUAAGGUUUGUGCUUUGUAGUAGACGCUCUGUGAUUGUGCGUUAGACAGUGUACCUGUGAUUACUUCAUAUCCUGUUACGUCACAGGAAGUUCCGCUUCGCGAUGAGUUCUCCACCUUUGGCUCCACUCCCACUCAUACACGUGUUGGGGAUUGAAGCCACAUGGUCUGAGUCGUGUAAUGUAGGGUGACUGUGAGAGGCGUUGCGACUGCUUCUUUGCUUUUGGUGAUGUCUCUGUCCGCAGAAAGAUGUGCAAUUACACAACAUUCCCUGAUGCUGCGGGGCCUACAGCACAGAGACUCCUGGGGUACUUGGGAUAGGUGUGCUGUUGAAGCUCCAGACUAAUGCAGGAGAGCACGUGUGAAUUAAAUAAGUAUGGGGCCUCACUUGAAGGGUACUGCUUAAGUGGCCACAGACACCCUCAAGUCUGCUUGCAGGUAUCCCACCAGACUUGUAUAUCAGGCAAAUGGUAAAAUUAAGGUGCAGGGACCUUUAUAUGAAGUUGCCCUGUUAAUGGCUUGCAGGUAGCUCACCAGACCUGUACACUAUUCUCAGGCACAUUGAGAUGGAGGUGCAGUGACCUUUAUGUCAAACUGACCUGUUGAUGGGAAGGGCAACUUAACGAUUUGACAUUUUGUGACAUGCACUUUAUACCAAGAUUUGGUGCGAGGAUUCCGUGUGUUGAAAGAAUCAUAAUAUUAAUAUAACAAACAUGCUUCUAAAAAUAAACCAAUGUUGAAAUGA